AGUGGACAUAUGGUUGCUCCUUCAGGUAGCUAUAAUUACCCUCUCUAUAAUGCAAUAUCGUAUUAUCCAUUUGUAAUGAAUGAUAGUAACACUAAAUCGGAUUGGAUUCAGUUAAAUCUACAUUUCUCAAGGUCUCUAACAUCGAGAUUUGAAAUAUCUUUCAUGUAAAUACCUUCUUUGUCAUGUGACUUGUAUAUAUUCGUGUAUAUUCAGAAUCGUACCUACGCACAAUGUCUUUGAACAAUGGCACAAGCAACGUGGUCUCUUUCUGUAAAACAUAGCACUCUUUAUUUCAGCCACAGCAAAGAUCCCGAACCACGUGCAGUCAGCAGAGUUACAGCGUCUGGUUACCGUCUUGCAGUUACGAUACAGAAUAUGUGCACAUAGCUUUCAAUGACCAGACGAAAAAAAGAAUUCAUUUCAAAUAUGUUGAGAAGAAAACGACCCAUCUCUGAAAAAAUCACCUCACCCAAGAAAAUACGACUCAUUCAUGAGAAUGAAAAGUGCAAAGUCUCCCAAGAAAUUGUCUUGUAAUAUAGCAUGUGAAUAAAUAUUUUUUUGAAAUAUCUCACGAAAUUAGUUUUAUUUUAUUGCUUGUAAUCAUGUGAACUAAAAAUGUUUGUUUUGAGGAAAAAGGUCAUUUGAAGCAACUCCAGGUUAAACUAUCCAAUGAUUGAAUCUUAUUUCUCCUGAAUUAAAAUAAUUCUGCUAAAUAUUACUGCAGAAAAAAAUUCGGCCAGAAAUUUCUGUAGAAAAAAAAAAAUUCGGCCAGAAAUUUCUGUAGAAAAAAAAAAUACUGCCAGAAAUUUCUGCAG